rnacentral:rRNA from 1 species
UGUCUGGAUUUUGCUUGCAUCAUCCUUCUGGUAGUUGUUUGUCGUGGUGUGGCGGUUUGUCAUAUUCUUCACUGAGUGUGAUUGAUCUCAUAUUGCGGCAAGCAAUCAAAACACUAUCAGAUCUUUUACUUUGAAAAAAUUAGAGUGUUUAAGGCAGGCUUAUGCCAUGAAUACAUUAGCAUGGAAUAAUAAUUUAGGACUUUGGUCUUAUUUUAUUGGUUUCUAAGGCUGAAGUAAUGAUUGAUAGGGACAGUUGGGGGUGCUCGUAUUCAGUGGCCAGAGGUGAAAUUCUUGGAUUCACUGAAGACGAACUUAUGCGAAAGCAUUCACCAAGGAUGUCUUCUUUAAUCAAGAACGAAAGUUGGGGGAUCGAAGACGAUUAGAUACCGUCGUAGUCUCAACUAUAAACUAUGCCGACUAGGGAUGGGCGAGUGUUGUUUUCAUAUCGACUUCGUCCGAACCUUAUGAGAAAUCAAAGUCUUUGGGUUCCGGGGGGAGUAUGGUCGCAAGGCUGAAACUUAAAGGAAUUGACGGAAGGGCACACCAGGAGUGGAGCCUGCGGCUUAAUUUGACCCAACACGGGAAAACUUACCAGGUCCGGACGCAGUGAGGAUUGACAGAUGGAAGAUCUUUCUUGAUUCUGUGGGUGGUGGUGCAUGGCCGUUCUUAGUUGGUGCUGUGAAGUGUCUGUUUAAUUACGUUAACGAACGAGACCUCGACCUGCUAAAUAGUUGGCUCAGGCCAUUUCGUGUCUGGGCAGUACAUCGGCGCAAGUCGAUGACCAACUUCUUAGAGGACUAUCGGUGUUUAGCCGGAGGAAGUUCGAGGCAAUAACAGGUCUGUGAUGCCCUUAGAUGUUCUGGGCCGCACGCGCUCUACACUGAUGGAUGCAUCGAGUCGUUUUUUUCCUUGACCGAAAGGUCUGGGCAAUCUUCGCAAAGUCCAUCGUGCUGGGGAUAGACCAUUGUAAUUAUUGGUCUUCAACGAGGAAUUCCUAGUAAACGCAAGUCAUCAGCUCGCAUUGAUUACGUCCCUGCCCCUUGUACACACCGCCCGUCGCUGCUACCGAUUGAAUGAAUUAGUGAGCUUCAUGGAUUGAUCGUCGUAAGGGCAACCUUGCAGCGACUGAGAAGUGAAUCAAACUUGCUCAUUUAGAGGAAGCAAAAGUCGUAACAAGGUUUCCGUAGGUGAACCUGCGGAAG